rnacentral:rRNA from 1 species
GGAGCUUGCUCCACCGGAAAAAGAGGAGUGGCGAACGGGUGAGUAACACGUGGGUAACCUGCCCAUCAGAAGGGGAUAACACUUGGAAACAGGUGCUAAUACCGUAUAACAAUCGAAACCGCAUGGUUUUGAUUUGAAAGGCGCUUUCGGGUGUCGCUGAUGGAUGGACCCGCGGUGCAUUAGCUGGUUGGUGAGGUAACGGCUCACCAAGGCCACGAUGCAUAGCCGACCUGAGAGGGUGAUCGGCCACAUUGGGACUGAGACACGGCCCAAACUCCUACGGGAGGCAGCAGUAGGGAAUCUUCGGCAAUGGACGAAAGUCUGACCGAGCAACGCCGCGUGAGUGAAGAAGGUUUUCGGAUCGUAAAACUCUGUUGUUAGAGAAGAACAAGGAUGAGAGUAACUGUUCAUCCCUUGACGGUAUCUAACCAGAAAGCCACGGCUAACUACGUGCCAGCAGCCGCGGUAAUACGUAGGUGGCAAGCGUUGUCCGGAUUUAUUGGGCGUAAAGCGAGCGCAGGCGGUUUCUUAAGUCUGAUGUGAAAGCCCCCGGCUCAACCGGGGAGGGUCAUUGGAAACUGGGAGACUUGAGUGCAGAAGAGGAGAGUGGAAUUCCAUGUGUAGCGGUGAAAUGCGUAGAUAUAUGGAGGAACACCAGUG